rnacentral:misc_RNA from 1 species
GAUGAAGAACGCAGCUAAAUGCGAUAAGUAAUGUGAAUUGCAGAAUUCAGUGAAUCAUCGAAUCUUUGAACGCACAUUGCGCCCGCCAGUAUUCUGGCGGGCAUGCCUGUUCGAGCGUCAUUACAACCCUCAGGCCCCCGGGCCUGGCGUUGGGGAUCGGCGGAAGCCCCCUGUGGGCACACGCCGUCCCUCAAAUACAGUGGCGGUCCCGCCGCAGCUUCCAUUGCGUAGUAGCUAACACCUCGCAACUGGAGAGCGGCGCGGCCAUGCCGUAAAACACCCAACUUCUGAAUGUUGACCUCGAAUCAGGUAGGAAUACCCGCUGAACUUAAGCAUAUCAAUAAGCGGAGGA